AUGACGCCACUGGAAUGCGAAGUUGGAACCACCACUAUUCCAGAAGCCCAGCAAAUCCCCAAAAUGUCAGGGCACCAGGCAGCCUCUGGAAUGACAGACCGAUACCCUUCCCCCACCCCCACCCCCACCCCAAAAGAAAGGUCCAAUCCCAUAAGUGCAGGUCACUCUGCCCUCUGGGGUAGUUCCAGCCGGCGCAGAGAUGGUCCCGAUGGGAGGACGAGAGGGGAAAGACAGACCACCUUUCUUCCCGCACACCCUCAGCUGGGGAAACAAAACAAAGACCGCCCUCCUCCUCCUCCUCGGGUAGCCACUACCCUAGCCACAGAGACUUUCCUAUUUCCCGGUGCAGUCUGGCCUCCCGCCCCCGCCCCCGCCCCCAUGACAAAGAAAAGGCACUUGGAGAGCCAGCGAGGCCUUCCUGCCUCCACGGAUGGGGGAGGGGGCUGCCGACGUGAGGAGCCCCCUCCGCUCACCCGCGCUGCCACUCUUGGCCGGGAAAAGAGCGGAAAGCGGCGGCCUCCGCCCGAGGAAGCCAGGUUGGAGAGGGGCUGGGGGUACCUUGAAGUAGCCGCCUUCGUAGAGGGUGUUAGGGGGUCCGAAGAUGGCAACCUCCCAGUUGUAGAGGUCGGACUCAUCCACCAGGGUGAUCCGGAAGCCCUCCACCGGUUCCUCCUGCAGGGAUUUCAGCUCAAGCAUCAGGGCCUUCUGCGAACUAGUCAUCUGCUGCUGGGCCAUCGCGGCGGCGGCGGCGGCGGCGCCGGGCCGGGGCCCCAGUCCUCACGCACCGGCCGGGCCGGACCAGGCCCCUCCCCUGCGCUCGCCCUCGGCCGGGCCGCAACGGGCCCCGGUCUUCACACACCCGGCGGCCCGGACCAGGCCCCAGACGGCCCGUGGGCCAGCCCGGUUCCUCUUCACACGACGCGGGCCGGGCCGAGCCCUUCUCCUCGCACUCAGGCCGUGUGGGGGGAGGGGUGGAGAGAGUUGGAGAAAUUCGCUCCUGGUCCCGGGCCUCCCCCCCCCGGAGGGGGCCUCAACUUGGGGGGGGGGGAGAGGAGGUGGAAUUGGAGGAAGGCGGCGGAGGGCCGGCGAUGGUGA
rnacentral:lncRNA from 1 species